UAGUAAUGGCGAAUGAAGCGGGAACAGCUCAAAUUUGAAAUCUCCGUUGCUUGAACGGCGAAUUGUAGUUUCGAGAAGCACUUUCUCGGCGGAUCCGGAGUCGUCCAAGUUGCUUGGAACAGCACGUCGUAGAGGGUGACAACCCCGUCUGCGGCGAUUCCGGCCGUUCACGAUGUGCUUUCGACGAGUCGGGUUGUUUGGGAAUGCAGCCCAAAAUGGGUGGUAAACUCCAUCUAAAGCUAAAUAUUGGCACGAGACCGAUAGCGAACAAGUACCGUGAGGGAAAGAUGAAAAGCACUUUGAAAAGAGAGUUAAAAAGUACGUGAAACCGUUGAAAUGGAAACGAAUGGGGUUAGCAAUGCGCCACGCGAGAUUCAGCCGACCGGCGAGUCAGGCGAGUGGUUUGCGGAUCUGAAUGGACCGCUGCCGUUCGGUUUGGCCUUCCGACCGUCGCACUUCUCGCUGGCGCGCGCCAACGUCGGUUGGGACUGGGUUUGAAAGGCAGCGGAAAGGUAGGUUCGAACUCUUCGGAGUCAGAACUGUUAUAGUCCGCCGCUUGAUGGCCCGGGCCCGAUCGAGGAGCUUGCGGUGCAUGCCGUUCGGCUAGGGUCCCGUCGUUCCGGUUGGUUGUCGAAUGCGGUGGACUGCGUGCAGUGCAUCGCGACCGCUGCCGGUCGCGACGGCGGUGACCUCAUACGAUGCGCCCAGGACGUUGGCGGUCAUAUGGCCUCAUCCGACCCGUCUUGAAACACGGACCAAGGAGUCUAACAUGUGUGCGAGUCUUUGAGUGAACGAAACUCCGAGGCAGAAUGAAAGUGAAGGCGACUUCGGUCGCUGAGGUGAGAGCCCGGCUCGAAACGCAGUCGGGCGCAUCAUCGACCGACCUAUUCUACUCUUAGAAAGGUUUGAGUAAGAGCGCAUCUGUUGGGACCCGAAAGAUGGUGAACUAUGCCUGAAUAGGGGAAGCCAGA
rnacentral:rRNA from 1 species